UACGUAGGGAGCAAGCGUUGUCCGGAUUCACUGGGUGUAAAGGGUGCGACAGGCGGAUUUGUAAGUCAGAGGUGAAAUCUUACGGCUUAACCGUGAAACUGCCUUUGAUACUGCAGAUCUUGAGUUUGGGAGAGGUUGAUGGAAUUCCAGGUGUAGCGGUGAAAUGCGUAGAUAUCUGGAAGAACACCAGUGGCGAAGGCGGUCAACUGGCCCAUAACUGACGCUCAGGCACGAAAGCGUGGGUAGCGAACAGG
rnacentral:rRNA from 1 species